UUGGGCUGGAACAGGUCCAAAGUUUCUACCCAGGUACCCCACCCCUAUUACCCGACCCUACCCUGAUACCUGUUAUGUUAAGUCCUGACAUCAAAUUUGUAAGAAAUAGCAAUAUAUUCUUCAGCUCAGAGGCUAAAAUUGGGUUUUUAAAUAUCUUAAC